GUGCUCACUUUGCAGCACACAAACCAAAAUUGUACCAAUGCAGAGGGUGAGCAUGGCCCCUGUGCAGGGAUUACACACAAAGCCUUGAAGCUUCCCACAUCGCA